GGGCCCGUAGCUCAGCCAGGCAGAGCGGCGGACCCCGCAUAGGCCUCCAGAGGGUGCGGGAGGCCGAGGCUCCAGACCCGUAGGUCGGGGGUUCAAAUCCCCCCGGGCCCA
rfam:Aeropyrum pernix K1 DNA, complete genome.